GCAGAGGAUGCUUUUGGCGCGGCGCCUUCCGAGUUCCCUGGAACGGGACGCCACAGAGGGUGAGAGCCCCGUCUGGCGGAUGCCAAGCCUGUGUAAAGCUCCUUCGACGAGUCGAGUAGUUUGGGAAUGCUGCUCAAAAUGGGAGGUAUAUGUCUUCUAAAGCUAAAUAUUGGCCAGAGACCGAUAGCGCACAAGUAGAGUGAUCGAAAGAUGAAAAGCACUUUGAAAAGAGAGUUAAAAAGUACGUGAAAUUGUUGAAAGGGAAGCGCCUAUGACCAGACUUGGGCCCGGCGAAUCACCCAGCGUUCUCGCUGGUGCACUUUGCCGGGCACAGGCCAGCAUCGGUUUGGCGCGGGGGACAAAGGCUCCGGGAACGUAGCUCCCUCGGGAGUGUUAUAGCCCGCUGCGCAAUACCCUGCGCCGGACCGAGGUACGCGCUUCCGCAAGGAUGCUGGCGUAAUGGUCAUCAGCGACCCGUCUUGAAACACGGACCAAGGAGUCGUCUUCGUAUGCGAGUGUUCGGGUGUCAAACCCCUACGCGUAAUGAAAGUGAACGCAGGUGAGAGCUUCGGCGCAUCAUCGACCGAUCCUGAUGUUCUCGGAUGGAUUUGAGUAAGAGCAUACGGGGCCGGACCCGAAAGAAGGU
rnacentral:rRNA from 1 species